GACGAACGCUGCGGCGUGCCUAAUACAUGCAAGUAGAACGCACAGGAUGCACCGUAGUUUACUACACCGUAUUCUGUGAGUUGCGAACGGGUGAGUAACGCGUAGGUAACCUGCCUGGUAGCGGGGGAUAACUAUUGGAAACGAUAGCUAAUACCGCAUAAGAACAUUUACUGCAUGGUAGAUGUUUAAAAGGUGCAAAAGCAUCACUACCAGAUGGACCUGCGUUGUAUUAGCUAGUUGGUGAGGUAACGGCUCACCAAGGCAACGAUACAUAGCCGACCUGAGAGGGUGAUCGGCCACACUGGGACUGAGACACGGCCCAGACUCCUACGGGAGGCAGCAGUAGGGAAUCUUCGGCAAUGGGGGGAACCCUGACCGAGCAACGCCGCGUGAGUGAAGAAGGUUUUCGGAUCGUAAAGCUCUGUUGUUAAGGAAGAACGUGUGUGAGAGUGGAAAGUUCACACAGUGACGGUACUUAACCAGAAAGGACGGCUAA
rnacentral:rRNA from 1 species